GUGGGGAAUCUUGCGCAAUGGGCGAAAGCCUGACGCAGCCAUGCCGCGUGAAUGAUGAAGGUCUUAGGAUUGUAAAAUUCUUUCACCGGGGACGAUAAUGACGGUACCCGGAGAAGAAGCUCCGGCUAACUUCGUGCCAGCAGCCGCGGUAAUACGAAGGGGGCUAGCGUUGCUCGGAAUUACUGGGCGUAAAGGGCGCGUAGGCGGACAGCUUAGUCAGAGGUGAAAGCCCAGGGCUCAACCUUGGAAUUGCCUUGGAUACUGGCUGUCUUGAGUUUGGGAGAGGUGAGUGGAACUCCGAGUGUAGAGGUGAAAUUCGUAGAUAUUCGGAAGAACACCAGUGGCGAAGGCGACUCACUGGCCCAAUACUGACGCUGAGGCGCGAAAGCGUGGGGAGCAAACAGGAUUAGAAACCCUUGUAGUCC
rnacentral:rRNA from 1 species